GGCAGCUAACCACGGUAGGGUCAGCGACUGGGGUGAAGUCGUAACAAGGUAGCCGUAGGGGAACCUGCGGCUGGAUCACCUCCUUU
rnacentral:rRNA from 1 species